UUUCCGUCAAUAACUGUCGUUGAAAUCCACCGAUUUGGCUACAAUGGAAUCCACUGACUCCAAAGUUCCGAUUGGGGAUUAACAAUGAAGAGAAGCUAUUGCAAACCUAACACUAAGGCUCCGUCGUGGAUUCAAACUCAAUCUCAGCCAGACAUGAACUGUAGCAGGAAAAGAGGGAAGUUUUCAGAUACUGAUGCUGAUUCUCCUAAAAAUUCCAAGGCUCCAAGAUGUGAGUAUACUCUGCAAUUUAGAUUUACUUCUUUAACUAAUAAAUUAAAUAAACCUACUAAUUAGAUUAAAGAUAACAUUCAAUUAAAGAUAGUAAUGUUGUAAAAUUGGCUAAAUUUGAUAAAUUAAAAUAUUAUAUUGCAAUAAUAUUUUCAGCAUAUUAAUUUUUUUUAAAA